rnacentral:lncRNA from 1 species
CACCAGCUGCUUCGAGAGACUAUCCAUAUGGAAGUCCAUACUCUGCAGCCCCACCACCACCCAAUCCAUACUAUUCAGCGGCACCGCCCAGUGGAUAUCCUUACGGUGGGUACAACGCGCCAUCUCCACCAGGACCUUACGGUCAACCAAGUUACGGUUACGGUCAGCAGCCCGUUUACGUGCAGGAGGAGAAGAAAAGCAAGUUUGGUGGGAUGGGGACAGGAGUGGCUGUGGG